rnacentral:lncRNA from 1 species
GGCGGAAUUCUAGUUUUUUGGCCGUAAAACGCAAAACAACGAGGAACGGCCAUGGAAGGGCGGUGACUAUGGUUUCUUAGGUCGUAUUUGAUCGCUCGGAAUAAUUUGAGGCGAUCGGGGUCCGGGGGGCCCGAACCCAUUCGAAAGGCAUGGGCUAUAGCACAGGAAUAUAUAGGAAUCAGGCGGAAUUCUAGUUUUUUGGCCGUAAAAUGCAAAACAACGAGGAACGGCCAUGUCAGGCGGUGACUACGUUCCUUAGGUCGUAUUUGAUGGCCUGGAAAAAUGUUAGGCAAUCUGGUUUCGGGGGACCCGGGCCCACUCGGAAGGCGUGGGCUAGAGUACACGAAAAUAUUGGAAUUGGGUGGAAUUCUAGUUUUAUGGCCGUAAAACGCAAAACAACGAGGAACGGCCAAGGCUGGGCGGUGACUAUGGUUCCUUAGGUCAUAUUUGAUGACCCAGAAUAAUUUUAGGCCAUCGGGGUCCGUGGGCCCGGACCCACUCGCAAGGCAUGUGCUAUAACACACGAAUAUAUGGGAAUCCGGCGGAAUUCAUGUAUUUUAGCCGUAAAACGCAAAACAACAAGGAACGGCCAUGGCGGGGCGGUGACUAUGGUUCCUUAGGUCGUAUUUGAUGGCCCGGAAUAAUUUUAGGCGAUCGAGGUCUUGGCCCCUCCGGACCCAGUCUGAAGGCGUGGGCUAUACAACACGAAUAUAUAGAAAUCGGGCGG